GUCGGUUUUUGAAACAUCACUAAGGUCGGCCAGAAACGAUGACCUCAGAUUCCGCAGCCUGCUUCUACACAGUGCGGCAAAUUUACACAGGAGAUAUUAGAUAGUUUCCUCCUCUUCGUAGUUCUUACAGCUACUGCAUUAUAUUCGGAAA